CAGUAGCCGCGGGAACACGAAGGGGGCUAGCGUUGUUCGGAUUAACUGGGCGUAAAGGGCGCGUAGGCGGGUUUUUAAGUCAGAGGUGAAAUCCCAAGGCUCAACCUUGGAACUGCCUUUGAUACUGGAAGUCUUGAGUCCGGGAGAGGUGAGUGGAACUGCGAGUGUAGAGGUGAAAUUCGUAGAUAUUCGCAAGAACACCAGUGGCGAAGGCGGCUCACUGGCCCGAUACUGACGCUGAGGCACGAAAGCGUGGGGAGCAAACAGGAUUAGAUACCCCAGUAGUCCCUGUCUCUUAUAA
rnacentral:rRNA from 1 species